rnacentral:rRNA from 1 species
UACGGAGGGUGCAAGCGUUAAUCGGAAUUACUGGGCGUAAAGGGUGCGUAGGUGGUUUGACAAGUCACAUGUAGAAGCCCCCGGGCUCAACCUGGGAAUGUCGUGUGAAACUGUUGAACUUGAGUACGGGAGAGGGCAGUGGAAUUUCCGGUGUAGCGGUGAAAUGCGUAGAUAUCGGAAGGAACAUCAGUGGCGAAAGCGACUUCCUGGACCAAUACUGACGCUCAUGUGCGAAAGCGUGGGAGCAAACAGG